rnacentral:lncRNA from 1 species
CCCUGCAACCCAACCUGUUCCCCGAAUUAAUUGAUUAAACACACGAAAAAUGAACGACGACCCCUAAGUCCCAAACCAAACGUGAUGUUCAUCUUUCUUCUUCUGUUCACCACAUCAGCAAGAUUAUAACGGCUUCUGACAAUUUUUUUUCCUCUCUCAUGUGUUGAAUUCAUUUUGGAAUUUCUGAAGAAUGAAUCCGAAAAAUGGGAGCCGUGGAUUGAUUUAAGGAUCGAUCCUCUCCUUCCAUCUGUUAGAGUUCAUUCUAGAAGAGAUCGAUUUUCGGAUUUCUUGUGAAAAAAAGGAAAAUUUUGAGAGAGAGGUUAUAUAUACCGAGGGCUGGUUUCAGGUAAGGGGGACGAUUUCUGGUAAAACCUGGGAGAGUAAAAAUGGGAGAAGAGGUUUCUUCUUUGGGAUUUUGUUCUUCAGAAACAUUAUUCUUCUUAUUUUCAAUUGUUCUUUUAGUUUCAUGGCAUCCGAACAGAGAAAAGGGACAUAGAGUUUUAAUUCUGAGUUUCAAAACUUUGUUUCUUCUGAUUUUAGGGAUACAUAACAAAAAAAACGAGACAUAUAGUUUUAAUUCUGAGUUUCAAAACUUUGUUUCUUCUGAUUUUAGGGAUACAUAACAAAAAAAACGAAAAAAAAAUUUGUUUUUUUUCAUCUACUACGCUCCAAUCCGAAAAUGGAUUCCGAUAUUGGAUAUCGAUUUUAAAUCUGUUUUCUUAAGCAUGGGGAUUAUUUGAAGCGUUGAAGGUGAGAUUGAGAACUCUUUCUUCUUUGCUUUGAGACUGAUUUUCUGGGAGUUCAAGUGUUUCAUUGAGUUGUAUUGUUUCUGUUCGUGGCGGUUGGUCCCUACUUCGCGGUUUAUUUGAUUUUCGGUGCUGGAUUUCUCAUUGUAUAUUCACAAUCAAAGUUUAAUCGAAAGCUCAAUUUCGGGUUCAUUUGCUGGUUCUUUCUCUUAUUUUGUUUGUGGUGUGAUUAAAAUGUGGUAAGAACCUUAGAUUUAUUAGUUUGGCGAGUUGUUUGUGAUUUGGGUGCAGGGGUUGAUUGGUGACUGAUUUGAGUACACUAUCUGGUAUACUUGACCUUGUUGCAACAUUUUGAGGUUGUGUUUGAUAUUUGCUCUUAGUCUUAUAUGAUUCAAUUUGGGUUUGUCAAAUAACAUGUUUAGUUGGUGAGUAAGAAUGGAUAAGUCGCAAUUUAGUUUCUGAAUUAAGCUAUUGGCAAUACGUUCACUGACGCAUUGGUUUAUUGUCUGAAUAUGCUUCUCUCUAUUGGUUUGGAUCGACUCGUUAUUAAGUACUUAAUAUGUUCGUCUUCGCUAGUAUCUGCUUGACAUUUGCCUCGAGUUGCUUCCUUUCCUCCAUGUGGAAAUGCGUUCUGAUCUUCAUGCCGUCAAAACUAUGCAUAUACUGUAUUCA